CCUACGGGAGGCAGCAGUGGGGAAUUUUGGACAAUGGGCGCAAGCCUGAUCCAGCAAUGCCGCGUGAGUGAAGAAGGCCUUCGGGUUGUAAAGCUCUUUUGUCAGGGAAGAAACGGUGAGUUCUAAUACAGCUUGCUAAUGACGGUACCUGAAGAAUAAGCACCGGCUAACUACGUGCCAGCAGCCGCGGUAAUACGUAGGGUGCAAGCGUUAAUCGGAAUUACUGGGCGUAAAGCGUGCGCAGGCGGUUUUGUAAGUUUGUCGUGAAAUCCCCGGGCUCAACCUGGGAAUGGCGAUGAGGACUGCAAGGCUAGAGUUUGGCAGAGGGGGGUAGAAUUCCACGUGUAGCAGUGAAAUGCGUAGAUAUGUGGAGGAACACCGAUGGCGAAGGCAGCCCCCUGGGUCAAAACUGACGCUCAUGCACGAAAGCGUGGGGAGCAAACAGGAUUAGAUACCCUGGUAGUCCACGCCCUAAACGAUGUCUACUAGUUGUCGGGUCUUAAUUGACUUGGUAACGCAGCUAACGCGUGAAGUAGACCGCCGCGGGUAGGUACGGUCGCGAGAAGUAAACGUAACAAAGAAGUAGACGGCGUGAGACGUGCCGACGGACGACGACGAGGGAGGAGG
rnacentral:rRNA from 1 species